CUUUUACUUUGGAUCUCCAGAUUAGAUGUUGCAGAACAGAAUGGGGUAAGUUAUAUCACGGUCCUUGCCUGGACCUGUCUUGACAAGGGAAAGCAGUGGGCAUUUCGAGGCUCAUAUUGAUAGGCAUCUCUUAAACCGGCCACCAGCUGUUGCAAAUGGCCCUGCAGACUGGAGUGAAGCUUUGAAUUUUAUUUCCUUGGGUUCUCCUGAGCAGUUAGUUGAAGGCAUGAAAGUUGUUUGUCAUGAGCUGACCACUACUGAUCCUGAGAGCAGUGCGAUGGAUGAUCUUGUCAAGGAUGCAGAUAGGCUAGUUGCAUGUCUUGCAAGCAAUGUAAAUAUAUAUAUAUAUUCUAUUCUCCU